ACCGUACUCCUACGGGAGGCAGCAGUGGGGAAUAUUGGACAAUGGGCGAAAGCCUGAUCCAGCCAUGCCGCGUGUGUGAAGAAGGUCUUCGGAUUGUAAAGCACUUUAAGUUGGGAGGAAGGGCAGUAAGUUAAUACCUUGCUGUUUUGACGUUACCAACAGAAUAAGCACCGGCUAACUUCGUGCCAGCAGCCGCGGUAAUACGAAGGGUGCAAGCGUUAAUCGGAAUUACUGGGCGUAAAGCGCGCGUAGGUGGUUCGUUAAGUUGGAUGUGAAAGCCCCGGGCUCAACCUGGGAACUGCAUCCAAAACUGGCGAGCUAGAGUAUGGCAGAGGGUGGUGGAAUUUCCUGUGUAGCGGUGAAAUGCGUAGAUAUAGGAAGGAACACCAGUGGCGAAGGCGACCACCUGGGCUAAUACUGACACUGAGGUGCGAAAGCGUGGGGAGCAAACAGGAUUAGAAACCCCAGUAGUCCUUGAC
rnacentral:rRNA from 1 species